GCGUUGGUGGUUCAGCGGUAGAAUUCUUGCUUUCCACGUAGGAGACCCGGGUUCAAUUCCUGGCCAACGCA